UAUCUGGGAUAGAUGGUGGAAAG
rnacentral:piRNA from 1 species